rnacentral:rRNA from 1 species
GAUGAACGCUGGCGGCGUGCCUAAUACAUGCAAGUCGAGCGAACAGAUGAGGAGCUUGCUCCUCUGACGUUAGCGGCGGGCGGGUGAGUAACACGUGGAUAACCUACCUAUAAGACUGGGAUAACUUCGGGAAACCGGAGCUAAUACCGGAUAAUAUAUUUAACCGCAUGGUUCAAUAGUGAAAGACGGUUUUGCUGUCACUUAUAGAUGGAUCCGCGCCGCAUUAGCUAGUUGGUAAGGUAACGGCUUACCAAGGCAACGAUGCUUAGCCGACCUGAGAGGGUGAUCGGCGACACUGGAACUGAGACACGGUCCAGACUCCUACGGGAGGCAGCAGUAGGGAAUCUUCCGCAAUGGGCGAAAGCCUGACGGAGAAACGCCGCGUGAGUGAUGAAGGUCUUCGGAUCGGAAAACUCUGUUAUUAGGGAAGAACAAAUGUGUAAGUAACUAUGCACGUCUUGACGGUACCUAAUCAGAAAGCCACGGCUAACUACGUG